UUUUCAGACCUCCGCCACGUCGCUUCUAUAUAUACCGGCCCCUGAUCGAACGUCCUUCCUCCGCCCGCAACCACCACCUCAGCCUUGCGCGUCUUCUGCAACUAAUGCCGUCGUUUUCAGAUAAUUAAGAGGUAUGCGAUUGUUGAAAGAAGUAAUGGCACCGAAUGAUGAACUGUUACAGAGCUUUGGAAUCAUAUGCACAUGAAGCUUGUCAGUGUUAUUGUGUUUUUUUUUCCUUGUAUAUAAUCCAAAGAUUUGAUUUGGCAUUUCAUGAAGGUUUCUGCUAACUCCAAAAGGUUCAUUCUAAAAUAAUCUACUGUCGAUCAACUGAGUUGAGAUUCUUAACAUGUCAAUUUAGAUGACAAUAAUCUAUAAACUAGUGCAAACUAUCAGAAUUGAAAUCUUUAAUGAUAUUUGAUA